rnacentral:rRNA from 1 species
UGCGCAGGCGGUUCUGUAAGACCGAUGUGAAAUCCCCGGGCUUAACCUGGGAACUGCAUUGGUGACUGCAGGGCUAGAGUGUGUCAGAGGGAGGUGGAAUUCCGCGUGUAGCAGUGAAAUGCGUAGAGAUGCGGAGGAACACCGAUGGCGAAGGCAGCCUCCUGGGAUAACAUUGACGCUCAGGCACGAAAGGCUGGGGAGCAAACA